rnacentral:lncRNA from 1 species
CGGCGGGCCCGCCUUGGGAAGGUGGCACGCGCGUGGAAUAGCGCGCCCCAGGAAAGUCGCGGCUACAGUGGUGAUGAAUGAGGGUCAGCUAUUGUGCAGCAGGGACAGACGGCGGAGAUGCCUGUUCCCCCAAGUCUCCUUUCAGAAGAUCCCAUGAGCAAGUCCCUACACCUAGACCUUCAAGCCCUCCUCCCGACAGAGAGGAUCUGGCAUGGGAGGGGCCCGCUGUAGCCGAGCUGAGGUUAUCUCUAGCUAGCAGGCUAGCCAGAAAGUGCCAGCUGCUCUCUCUUGCGCCCACCAGUACUCCCUUCUCAGGGCAUUCUCUGAUGUGCCUCGGAGAGUGUGCUGCGGACCGGGGGAGGCGCUCCUACUCUAUCGAACAAGGACAAUGGGCCGCUCUCAGGAGUAACAGAGCCGUUGUUUGUAGGUGGAGAGCACCCUCCGGAGCCCAGCCGACUAGCUUCCCGGUGCCAGGCAUGCUGUGGGCGGGAGUCAGGCUCAACCUGUAGUUUAGAGGAUCACGGACUUCCCUCCAUGCCUCUGCGGAACCAGGAACUGGACACACAAUGAAAGGACUCACUGAGCCAAGGCAGCCUCGGGGCAUGCAUUUUGGAAGCGCCAAAUCUACUUCCCUUCUUGAGUCUCAUCACCAUUCAAAAUGGAACCAGAAGCUACUUUGUAAAAUGGAGCUACUACCUAAGAGCAGAGUGGUGACGGCUACUAAGCCUGAGUUCCAUCCCUCAGAAUCCACAGGGUGGAAGGAGUGAAAUGACUGCUGCAAUUGGUUCUCCGAUCUCUGCAUGGUGUCUAUGGCACGACAGUGCCAUCCACGUAUGAUGUCCUGAAAGACCCUGCUUGGAAUGACCGUGAGCGCGUGCGGGGGUGGGGUCGGGGGGAGGGGUGAUCACACGCUGGGUGGGUGAUGGUCUCAGUAAAGUAGAAGCUGCAGUGGUGAUCUCACAUACACACACACACAUACAUGCACACGCUUGCGUGCACAAUAAAGUGACCCAUACCCAGGAGGCAGGAGGAUCCUUAUGAGUUUAAGGAAGGCUUGGUCUACAUUUAGAAUUCUUGGCUAGCCAAGGCUGCAUACUAAGAUUCUGGGGGCAGAGUUGGGGUGGGGAGCUACAGAAGGCAAGGCACAGUCCAAAAGCCACUGUUUUACAGUUUGGAGUGACUUAGAGCAAAGUACAGCCUGAUCUUGUUGGAACCUUCUGAGGGGAAGUAUCCUGGUGUGUUGUCCUGUUUUCAUAGGAGUCUUCUCUGUGGUGCAAAAAAUAGUAGGUCUUCAUUUUAGUCAUAUAAAGUUUUAAUUUUGUUUAAAAGACAAAACAACAACAACAGUGGAGCCAGUAUAGUGUGUGACAUGCCUCCAAUGCUAGCAGCCAGACAGCAAAGGCAGGAGCUCUGUGAGCCAUACAUAGUGAGCCCAUGUUGUCAUUCCCCAAGCCCCCAAAACAGUUUAAGACCAGCUUGAUAUACAUAGAAAAUUUAAAAUUCUGAGCCAAGUAGAGCUAUACAGUGGAACUGUCCUAAAAACAAAUAAGGCUAGAGAGGUGGCUCCGUAGUUAAGGUACUUAACCGCUUGCUCUUCCAGAGGACCCACCCCAGUUAGGUCCCCAUCAGCUUUUACAGGUGGCUCACAGCUACCUGGAACUAAGGGAAAUAGACACCUCUAAGCUCAGUGUGUAGGCAUGCACAUACUUAAAAAGAAAUCUAGAAAUCAAGCAACAAAAAGUAUAUUAGAGCUGGAGUAUAGCUGAGUGGUGAAGCACUCAACAUCAACUAAAGUGGAUGACUUAAGGAAGAUGCUAUAAUGAUUAAACCAGUGGAUCUGAAGGACAUGGACUGUAGGUGAGCACACGGAUUUCCCCUCUCCCAUUGCUACCUUGGAGUAGGGGAACAGGAAUAAGAGAAGGUCCCUGAUGUCUAGGGAGCAGAGCCUCUGUAGAAACAGGAAAUUGGGGUUAGGGAGAGCCCAUGUCUCAGGAGCAGGACCUCACAGCAGCCUGGCUACCUCCAGCCUCCUCCUUUGAAAAUGGCAGCAUUGUCUGGCACGUGUCCUGUUUUCCACUGUCUUUGCCUUUGUAGUAAUUAAUUAAUCCGGGCCUGCUUGCCACCUAAAGUCCCUUCAGACACUUCCUAGCUCUGCAUGUCGCCUUGCAGCUGGCAAUAUACCUUCACCUGAGGUUCGGCAUCAGGUCCUAGGGACCCACUCAGGGAAAACGGAGCCAUAUGGGCCCAGAGAAAUCCUGCUUUCCCUUUGAAAGUCAGCUGGAGGCCUUUCCUCCUUUGUUCUAGAUUUUCACACAGUGAAAAACACAGUCACACACACACACACACACACACACACACACACACACCUUACUUUUUCAGAGUCAGUGACUCACUAUGAAACCCUGACUGGCCUGUAACUCACCAUGCAGACCAGCGCUGGGAUUAAAAGCCUGUAGACACCCAGCUGUUAUGAUCACAGCCUUCAGCCCAUGUUCUAGGACAGCCUUUGGAAGUAGUCUAGGGGUCCAGCCCUGGGGGUAGUCAAGAAUAGAGCUAAGAGAAAUAGAAGAUCUAUACAUGAUUUCACUAGCCUUCAAGUGAAACGAGUCCUGCUCUCCAUUUAAGAAUGGAAACUGCAUCCUGUAGAUUUCCCAGUCUAUGUGACUGUCACAACAGAAGUCAGG